rnacentral:lncRNA from 1 species
AGCAGACAGAACGUGCGUUCAGGUCCUACCUGCUGCUAAGUGGCCUUGAGCGAGGAACCUAACUUCUCUAUGCCUCAUCGAUAAAUGAGGAUAAUCACGCUUACUUGAGAGGUUCCUGGGAGGGUUAAAUAAAACCCUGUUUGCAAAGCACCCAGCUCUGUCUGGUGAGCAGUAGGGACUCCACAGAUGUCAGCUGUUAUUCUACUAUGACGAGUCUCCACAAUACUCAACAUGACACCAGGCAUUCCUUAAGUGCACAGUAAGGGCUCAGUGGCUCAAUGGGCUGGAUCUCUGUCUUCAGUUGCCUCAUGUGGGUUAUGCAGUAGGGCAUUUGUUUCCAUUUUUCUAUGAACUUGCCUCAUAUCUGCAGGACUGGAGAAGUACAAGGCUGAUCUUUCAUUUCCUCAGAGCCUGAGCUGGCAAAGAGACAGCAGGUCAAGUUCAGGGAUAAGUAGAGGAAUUGAUGCUGGGCCCUACUCAAGGGGUGAAGAGAACUUUUCUCACAAAAAUUUUCACUAUUCAUCCCACUCUUUUCCUCAUAGACAUCCCUGAAGCAGAGGCAGAAGACAGAUUCUAGAACACUCUUUGAUGAUCUCUCAGGUGCCAUGUGCCCUGCAGCAGUGAUUGAGGCUCUGUCAGAGAGUGGUGAGCUUCUCUGUGAUAUGUGGUCAUCAUGACACCUCCCUAUUGACCCUGUCCUGGGAUCCAGGUCCUGGACCAGCCAUGUUAUGUACCAAUGUCUCCUGUCAUCCGCAUGAUAACUCCAUUCUAUAGGUGAGGAAACUGAGGCUUGGCAAGGCUAAGUAACUUACUCAAGGUCACACAGCUGGUAAAUAGCAAAACCAAGAUGUCCACCCUGUUUGACCUGUCCCAGCCCACAUUCCUGCCACUGUGCCACUCCCCUUUGUAAUGGGGCAAGCAUUGGCCUGGAAUUCAAGAUUCCAGCUCUGAGCCAAGUGAUGGACUUUCCUGAUGGACCUCCGCUUUAUCACUUUGUAAAUGGAAGGAGGAAAGGCCACCCUCCCACUGCCCAGGCAACUCUGAAUAUGAGAAGAGCAGUCAGCCAUUUGAAGAGUGCUAUUUAACUCAUUACAGAGAACAGUCCUUUUGACUCUAUGAGAAUUUUCUGGAAGUCACAUGUCAUUUUCACUUUCACCUAUUAAAACCAAAGCUUACAUUCAGCUUUUUUAAAAGCUUCCCUGUGCAGAGGCGGCCAGCAGCCAGCGGCACAGGCUGGGUCUCAGGCCUGUGCUGAAGGUCAACCCUCUCUGGAAUCAUAAACCAGCUCAGCAAGCUACAGUCUUGGGCUCAAACCUGAACUUACUUUGAAAGAAAGAAAGACCUGCAAAAAGGUCACAAUGAACCAAUAGAAAAUAUUCAAUGGCUCUCAUUGUCUUGACUCAAUGUAGGCUUGGGGGGCGAUGUAGCACAUCCUAAGAGCCCAGCGAGGAAUAAACUGAGCCUUGAGGAAAUUGAGUUCCUGGGCUGGAGUGGAGCCCAAGGCCUGGAUGAGAUCCCUUGCCACAUCUGCUUCCCUCAUAAGGGAUCCUUAACUCCCAGGCUCUGCCAGGUGGAAGCCAAACCAGCCCUGGGCCAGGAGCCAGAGCAAGGACUUACCUGGAAGGGACAUCUGCUAAGCUCUUUGAAACAAAUGCAAAAGCUGCUAUUUUAAUGAUCAUAAAUUCCUAUAGCAGGUUCCCCCAGUACCCUGGCUACCAUAUUAGCAGAAUCAUUUUUCAAUUUACUGGGUACAGAGGAGACUCAGUGCCCACGGCCAAGCAGAGGGUGUGUGUGUGUAUGUAUGUGUGUGUGUGUGUGUGUGUGUGUGUAUGUGUGUGUUUGUGUAUACACGUCUGCAUUUUUCAGGAGUGAGGAUAUUUGCAUAACAGGUAUCUUUGCAGAUACCAGACAAACAGGAAGUUUCAGAACCUAUGCCAUUUCCUUUCACUGUGAAUCAGCAGCCUCUUUCUUCUCAUACAGAAAUGAUGAAAUCACAGGGUAUGGCCCCGGAAUGUGAAGACCAGGAGAAGAGCACUAAGCCUUCAUAGUCACCUUCUUUGUAGUGCUCACUGGCCACUCCUCCAGGAGUAACUCCGGGACACAGUGGACAUACAGGCUCAGCACCAAGGUCUAGAGUCGGACAGCCUGACUUUUCAUCCAGGCUCUGCUCAGACAAGCUGUUUGAUCUCAGGUAAGUCUGCUAUCCUUUCUCGACCUCAAUUCCCUAAUCUAUAAAAUGGGAACCAAUGGUAGUACCCAGGGCUGAUAUUGAAAACAUUUAAUAACCAGCUUUGCACUAACCUCUUAAAUGAAUGUCAGCCAGCACCAGGGCAUACUUGCAAAUAUUAUCUCUGCUAAUUUCUAUUGCAGAGGGUGUUAUGGUUUUAGACACAUUGUAAACACCCUAAACAUUAGCCACUAGUUUUACUAUUUUUAUGUUCAGCUCAUGUCACACAGUUCCUGGCACAGCCCCCAGUGGAGAGACCUUCAGAGAAGUGGUGGCUCUAGACAGACCUUGUCUUCAUUCUCUCCCAGGUUAACUAAGGCCCUCCUGCCUCUCUUUGCUCACCACAAAGUCACAAAAAUGCUGGGGGUGGGAUGGGACCUUGGGCUCAUCUGCCUGAAGUGAAUCAGAGUGCAUCCCUAUGUGACCCAUGGGUAGGAGCUCUUUUUCCCUGUGAACACUCUUUGCAAAUCUUCAUCACAG